UAAAUUAGACAAUUGAUUAACAUUUCGAUACUAUUUACCGAUCAAAAACGGGCUAUAAAUGGAUACCUUGCCUUCGUUCCAUCUCCCGUCACUCGUCCAAGCCAGAAAGACAUAAGAAAACUUCUACUCUUGUUUCUAUAAACAAAACAACCGCUCCCAAUUAAAGCCCCGCCCUUUACUUCCUCCGAAGGACACCUCGAUCGGAACCGUGGACGGGGUCGCGAAGCCCAUGUGCAACGACGUGGGCUCCCUCCCCGCUGCUGCCUGUCACCCCACCAGCCCCGCCGCGGCUCCCAUGUGCGCCGCUGAAGCCACCCUCGGCCGCCGCCUCGUCUAGGUGGGCGUCGCCGCCUCAUCUAGGUGGGCGUCAACGAUGUCUUCUCCGUCCCUCCCUCCUUGAUACCGUUUGGAUCAAUUUGCAAUCCAAUGAAAGUGGGAGAAAAGAUAAGAAAAAUUUCUUUUGUAAGGAGGAAGAUAACUUUCAUUCAAAUACUUGGAUGCUUUCUCAUUACAAUUCAUGAAUAUUUAUAGGCAAGUCAUGGGUAACAUGAAAAGACAAAAGAAAAUGAAAGGUCAAGAGUCACUUUAAUAUGGGUAACUCACAAAAUAAAAUACAUCAAAGCCAAAACUAAAUUCUCUUAGGAAAUUUAAAAGGUCAAAAGACACCUGCCUCUUAAAAUAUCUAUAACUUUCCAACCAUAACUUGGAUUUUUAUGUUCUUAGGCUUGUUGGAAAGAAGAGAAAGAUAUCUGAACCUUUUAU
rnacentral:lncRNA from 1 species